AUACCUGGAAACAAAUUUACGGCAGUAAUACACGGGAAAGCAUCGACGACAGUCUUGAAUACUUCCGAGGACCUUUCGUAGCCGAUUGGAAUUGCACGGUUUCGAGCGAAUGCUCCCCAAGGUCGGGGGAGCCACAGCUGCACACUUUUAUCAUUUUCUUUGCGCGGCCGACAAACAACGACAACGAUCGCGAUCAAGAUAAGUCGGCCUGACAUUGUACGAAGUGAAAGGAAGAACAAUAUCCGCGCGCGAGGAUCGAUCCCCUAUGAACAUUUGCAGGGGAUCUUGCAAAAUCCUUUCAUCUGUCCAACGAAAAUGCGAAAACGCAUCGCUUGGAAACGUGGUAAUAGACACAACAAUAAAAAAGAUGUCGUUUCUAAAACAUCGUCACCGGGGCUUCUACGACUUCGAUCGCUGCUAAUUCAAUACGGGGGCAACCGCUUCUCAACGUAAUUUCGAAGCUGGAAUGUUAUUUCGCUCGCAGGUAAAAUCGAUGGGGGCGAACGCGAGCGGCUCGUUGAACCGUGCAGCCUGGAAACGAUUUUGAACGUUUAUCGCGUGCGCACACGGUUUUAAAAACGAACGAUUCCGGCGAAUAUCUCCGAGGGAAACCCGCUCACCGGCCGGUUUAAUAACCGGGCCGCGUAAAAUUCCGGGCGUUGCGCAAUCGCCGCAAAGACGAUAAUAAACCUGACAUAACAUCUCGGGGGUUUCUUGGAAAAUUCGGACAACGCGGAGAACAGAGAGAAGUGUCAAAAUAACUGUGUGCUGACCCGACUCUCUUGGCUGCGCCGCGAAACAUUCGGCCAGUCCGGACAAGUUAUUUUCAGUAUUGAACCGUUCUGAACAACCGGGAACGACCGGUGUGUUUGUGUUCCCGAGUGGUGAUUUCGGAUAGGCCGUGCGAGAACAAUGGAGCGGGCCGAUUUCGAAUUGCUCCGCGGGACCGAUCGGUACGGGGCCCAACAAAAGGGACCUCGACGGGUCACAAAAGACACCCUUGUUGGUCAUAUAACGCUCCUAAUCCCGGCAAAUUAACGGAGCAUGAACGGUCACCCGGCGAGGGUAUUAUUAACACGUUGAAUGCCACGGGGGUCACCGGUGACCGGCACUUAACUUGGCGGUGACGCCAUGGGGGCCACCGGUGACCGGCGCGCCCAAAUUGAUAGAAAUAUAUAUAAUUUCAAACAAAUGUGAAUAUCUAAAAUUUUCUAUUAUUACCGUCGUCGAUUCGAACAGUGACCACUGUCGCAAUUAAUAUGUCAAACAUGGUGUUACACUGUAACAUAUCAAUUGCAGACAAUA